rnacentral:sRNA from 1 species
GAAAGUACCGUAGUACGAUCUCUUGAAUUGAUCCUAAUUAACUUCCCAAAUUAAAAAAAAACAUUUGCAGUAAAAGACUUUCACUGAAACUUUGACAUUAAACUAAUGUAUUUUGAUUAAAAUAGAUACAGCUAGGUAGCAAUAGCAGUGGAAGCCCGGAUUUGCAAGCCAAAUGAGGGAAAGACAUAAUUCUGAAAAGGAGCAUGUUUUUCAUUUCCACACAUGCAUGUGUAUCACUAUGGACAUCUAAUGUUUUUGUGGGAUUUUGUCCAGCAGUUUGCCUUAAAAGAAUUUUUUUAUAUUUUAGUUUCAGAUUUAUGUGGAUUCCAAUAAAAAUCAUACAAACUUC